GGGGAAUCUUCCGCAAUGGGCGAAAGCCUGACGCAGCAACGCCGCGUGGGUGACGAAGGCCUUCGGGUUGUAAAGCCCUUUUGCCGGGGAAGAAGAUCUGACGGUACCCGGCGAAUAAGCCACGGCUAACUACGUGCCAGCAGCCGCGGUAAUACGUAGGUGGCGAGCGUUAUCCGGAUUUACUGGGCGUAAAGCGUACGUAGGCGGCUCGGCCAGUCUGUCGUGAAAUCUCCCGGCUCAACCGGGAGGCGCCGAUGGAAACUGCCGGGCUGGAGGGGCGUAGACGCGAGCGGAAUUCCCGGAGUAGUGGUGGAAUGCGUAGAUACCGGGAGGAACACCAGUGGCGAAAGCGGCUUGCCAGGCGCGGCCUGACGCUGAGGUACGAAAGCGUGGGGAGCGAACCGGAUUAGAUACCCGGGUAGUCCACGCCGUAAACGAUGGAUGCUAGACGUGGGGAGUAUCGACCCUUUCCGUGUCGCAGCUAACGCGAUAAGCAUCCCGCCUGGGGACUACGGCCGCAAGGCUAAAACUCAAAGGAAUUGACGGGUCCCCGCACAAGCGGCGGAGCGUGUGGUUUAAUUCGAUGAUAAGCGAAGAACCUUACCUGGGCUUGACAUGCGUCUGACGGUUCGCGAAAGCGGGCUUUCCUUCGGGACAGGCGCACAGAUGUUGCAUGGCUGUCGUCAGCUCGUGCCGUGAGGUGUUGGGUUAAGUCCCGCAACGAGCGCAACCCUCGUCGUUAGUUACUAUGUCUAGCGAGACUGCUCCUAAAACGGGAGAGGAAGGUGGGGACGACGUCAAGUCGGCACGGCUCUUACGCUCAGGGCUACACACACGCUACAAUGGUCGGAACAGAGGGUCGCGAGGGCGCGAGGCGGAGCUAAUCCCUUAAACCUGCCCCCAGUUGGGAUUGCAGGCUGCAACUCGCCUGCAUGAACGCGGAGUUGCUAGUAACCGCAGAUCAGCCAUCCUGCGGUGAAUACGUUCCCGGGCCUUGUACACACCGCCCGU
rnacentral:rRNA from 1 species